CCAAUAGCGUAUAUUAAAGUUGUUGCAGUUAAAAAGCUCGUAGUUGAAUUUCGGGACUAAUAUGUCGGUCGUACUUUGUACGUACUAGCAUUAUUGGUUUCUCCCUUCUGAAGAACCAUGAUGUCAUUAAUUUGGUGUCUUGGGGAAUCAGGACUGUUACUUUGAAAAAAUUAGAGUGUUUAAAGCAGGCUCGCGCUUGAAUACAUUAGCAUGGAAUAAUGAAAUAGGACGUUUGAUUCUAUUUUGUUGGUUUCUAGGAUCGACGUAAUGAUUAAUAGGGAUAGUUGGGGGCAUUAGUAUUCAAUUGUCAGAGGUGAAAUUCUUGGAUUUAUUGAAGACUAACUACUGCGAAAGCAUUUGCCAAGGAUGUUUUCAUUAAUCAAGAACGAAAGUUAGGGGAUCGAAGACGAUCAGAUACCGUCGUAGUCUUAACCAUAAACUAUGCCGACUAGGGAUCGGAUGAUGUUAAUUUUUUAAUGACUCAUUCGGCGCCUUACG
rnacentral:rRNA from 1 species